GAUGAAGAACGCAGCGAAAUGCGAUAAGUAAUGUGAAUUGCAGAAUUCAGUGAAUCAUCGAAUCUUUGAACGCACAUUGCGCCCGCUAGUAUUCUGGCGGGCAUGCCUGUCCGAGCGUCAUUUCAACCCUCAAGCCCCCGGGCUUGGUGUUGGGGAUCGGCGAGCCUCCGCGCCCGCCGUCCCCUAAAUCUAGUGGCGGUCUCGCUGUAGCUUCCUCUGCGUAGUAGCACACCUCGCACUGGGAAACAGCGCGGCCACGCCGUUAAACCCCCAACUUCUGAACGUUUGACCUCGGAUCAGGUAGGAAUACCCGCUGAACUUAAGCAUAUCAAUAAGGGAGGA
rnacentral:misc_RNA from 1 species